rnacentral:rRNA from 1 species
CCUACGGGAGGCAGCAGUGGGGAAUUUUGGACAAUGGACGCAAGUCUGAUCCAGCCAUGCCGCGUGCGGGAAGAAGGCCUUCGGGUUGUAAACCGCUUUUGUCAGGGAAGAAACGGGUUUCUCUAAUACAGAGACCUAAUGACGGUACCUGAAGAAUAAGCACCGGCUAACUACGUGCCAGCAGCCGCGGUAAUACGUAGGGUGCAAGCGUUAAUCGGAAUUACUGGGCGUAAAGCGUGCGCAGGCGGUUAUGCAAGACAGAGGUGAAAUCCCCGGGCUCAACCUGGGAACUGCCUUUGUGACUGCAUAGCUAGAGUACGGUAGAGGGGGAUGGAAUUCCGCGUGUAGCAGUGAAAUGCGUAGAUAUGCGGAGGAACACCGAUGGCGAAGGCAAUCCCCUGGACCUGUACUGACGCUCAUGCACGAAAGCGUGGGGAGCAAACAGGAUUAGAUACCCUGGUAGUCCACGCCCUAAACGAUGUCAACUGGUUGUUGGGAGGGUUUCUUCUCAGUAACGAAGCUAACGCGUGAAGUUGACCGCCUGGGGAGGACGGCGCGAAGGUAGUAACGUUACGAAGUAAGUUAGUUAGGCGNGNGACGNGCGACGGACGACGACGAGGGAGGAGG